rnacentral:rRNA from 1 species
CACGUAGUUAGCCGGUGCUUAUUCUUACGGUACCGUCAUGAGCCCCCUGUAUUAGAGAGAGCCUUUUCGCUCCGUACAAAAGCAGUUUACAACCCGAAGGCCUUCUUCCUGCACGCGGCAUUGCUGGAUCAGGCUUGCGCCCAUUGUCCAAAAUUCCCCA